AUUGAACGCUGGCGGCAGGCCUAACACAUGCAAGUCGAGCGGAUGAAGGGAGCUUGCUCCUGGAUUCAGCGGCGGACGGGUGAGUAAUGCCUAGGAAUCUGCCUGGUAGUGGGGGAUAACGUCCGGAAACGGGCGCUAAUACCGCAUACGCCCUGAGGGAGAAAGUGGGGGAUCUUCGGACCUCACGCUAUCAGAUGAGCCUAGGUCGGAUUAGCUAGUUGGUGGGGUAAAGGCCUACCAAGGCGACGAUCCGUAACUGGUCUGAGAGGAUGAUCGGUCACACUGGAACUGAGACACGGUCCAGACUCCUACGGGAGGCAGCAGUGGGGAAUAUUGGACAAUGGGCGAAAGCCUGAUCCAGCCAUGCCGCGUGUGUGAAGAAGGUCUUCGGAUUGUAAAGCACUUUAAGUUGGGAGGAAGGGCAGUAAGUUAAUACCUUGCUGUUUUGACGUUACCAACAGAAUAAGCACCGGCUAACUUCGUG
rnacentral:rRNA from 1 species